ensembl:lncRNA
GAUUUGAUAAUUUUUCCUACAUAAUCAAAUUUGGGAAAGCAUUUGUAAAAUGCAAAACAGAUAUUAAAUGAUCAAGGUGUUUAGUAUUGUGAUAGACCCACAGUGUUGCCAUACCAAAGCACCUCAAGGCUGUUCUAACCCAUCUUGUCUUGAUUGCAUUGACAUUCCUCACUGUGCAUUUCACUGCCUGCCCUGAAAAAACGCUGCAUUUGCUUACAAUGACCUUGGCCCAUAACAACCAAGAUAUCUACUUGAGGUCAGGAGGGGCUUCACCAGGCAAACCAAUUAAGAAAAAUAUUGACAUGAACUGCCAUGUUUAUGUUACCCAAAAAGGUAUCAUAGACAUAUUACAACAAUCUUGCUGUUUUUUUUUUUUAUUAGUCAAGUUCAGCCAACUACAAAUAGGUCUGCUAUUAUAUAAAGAGACUAGAUGUGUAAUUAUAAUAUAGCAUCUACUCCAUGUUGUUAUAAUAUAGUAAUUAAAAUACAAAACACCUGUGAUCCAUGUCUGGCCUAGAGAAUGUACAUGUUGCCCCAAACAUUUGGUAAAAUGUUUGGUAAUCUUUUAAAUUAAGAUAUGGUUCAGGAUUUUGGUAAUCUAGUCUAUAGCCCAUUAUCUUACUCUCCUGAACUCCCCAGUUAAAUUGACUGAGAACACAUUCUUAUUGAUCUUUGAAAAAAUUGGUUCAAUUUCUAAGGGAUAGAAUGACAGGUUUUUAACAUGUUUUAACGCAUAUUUAGGGACAUUUUGUGACAGCCAUUUGUAUAUCUGUGUUCAGUUUCAAGGUAGUUGACAACUAAUGUUAAGACAAUUACUUAUUAGCAUAAUCCCAAUAACUCUAGUCAUCGUGAAGAUCCCAAAAACUAUAGACUUAGUCAUUGUGUGAGCACAGAUAUAUCAGUGAUAUAUACAAGUUAAUCUGACUAAGGGGAUGUAGUCAGUAGCAUAGAGUAAGGGCUUUUUUGCCAUAAGGGAAGGACAUUCUGAUUCUAGAUCUGUGCUUGGAGUGCAAAAUAUUCAAUUGUAACCUUGCCCACUAGGGGGCCUUCCCUCCCUCUGCAUGCUGAAGUGUAAGGGACUGAGUGAGCAAGUGAGAGUGAAAGAGGGAGAGUGGGAGAGUGAGGGCACUGCGCACUGGGGAGUCCUUAGUCAUGCGGUACAGCCAGAGUUGAGUCAGUCAUGGAAAGAUGAAGCUGCAGGAUAGAGAAUGAGUACACAUAAGCUCAUGCACAAAACGCACACAUGUACGGGUUCUUCAUAGGGGCACACUGGUUGAGCCUGCUUAUUUCUUCCUAGGGGUACAGUACAUGGCUUAUCUAUGCAGCAGAGCAGCUGCCUCACAGGAAAAUAUACUAUUCUUAUGCUAUAUGCCUUACGAAGCAAAAGGGCAAUAGAUGCUCAUAGUAGAACUGAGAAAAAAUCUUAGAAGUUUUAUUUUCCUACCAAAUUAGUAAUAGGUUAUGUGGUUUUGUUAUUUUCUGUCCUCUCACAUGACUUUCCCACCAGACAGCAGUUACGUCCUUCUUGCUUGGUGCACCACUGGGAUAUGUUUCAAUUAUUUAUUUUUUUAAUACAAAGUUGUACUCAUUUAUAUAUUGUUAUGUGGUUGUUAGUUUCAGACUUGCUGAUCAUUGUCUGCAAAGAACAAUCACUAAUACCAAGGUAAACCAUAAGAGCUGCAUCCCAAAGCUCCGUAAAAGUGAUGGCAAUUAUUGCCCUUUUCCUUGGGUUCACUUUAGCUUUUUUUCUGU